CUCUACUGGAGGAUCCACACUGUAAACUAGAGAAACUAGAGCUGAGUUACUGUAGUAUUGGAGAGGAAGGAUGCUCUGCUCUGAUUUCAUCUUUGAGAUCAAACUCCUCACACCUGACAGAACUGGAUCUGAGAAGUAAUAAACCGGGAGACUCAGAAGUGAAGCUGCUCUCUGCUCUACUGGAGGAUCCACACUGUAAACUGAAGAAACUACAUAUUUGACAGUGGAUACUCUACAAGCUUCAAACAACUGAAUCAAAACAACACGUAUUGAACAAGACUGUCACCUGGACAAAUGCUGAUACUUAAGUGAAUUUGCUUUCACCACAUUUGGGAGGUGAAAUAGUGUAGUGUAGGGUACAUGUCACUGUUGACGUUAUGUCACUUAAGGUGUGGUUUUGAGCACAUCACAGAAGAAAGAUUGGUGGGAUACCUAACUUGUAGAGCCUCUUUCUCUAUCAUUAACACAAAUAAGACACAAGAGUAAUAAAAUUAGUUGUAUUAAGAAAAGAUAGACAAGUGUUAUCAACAACUACUAAAUGGAUACCAUGAAUGAAAAAGUAAUAAAGUGCAUAAUUUGUAUAAAAUGCAAGUGAUUACGUUGGGUGUUGUUUUGUCAAGGCUACGUUAUCUGGAAAGAAAUAAGGUGAAUAAACUUAUUAUGCAUCAAACUAAUAUGUGAAAUAUUAAUUGUAUAAAGAAAAGAUAGACAAGUGUAAUCGACAACUACUAAAUGGAUACCAUGAAUGAAAAAGUAAUAAAUUGCAUAAUUUGUAUAAAAUGCAAGUGAUUACCUUGGGUGUUUUUUUGUCAGAGCUACAUUAUCUGGAAAGAAAUAAGGUGAAUAAACUUAUUACUCAUCAAACUAAUAUGUGAAAUAUUAAUUGUAUAAAGAAAAGAUAGACAAGUGUAAUCGACACCUACUAAAUGGAUACCAUGAAUGAAAAAGUAAUAAAUUGCAUAAUUUGUAUAAAAUUCAAGUGAUUAUGUUGGUUGUUGCUUUGUCAGAGUUACGUUAUUUGGAAAGAAAUAAGGCGAAUAAACGUAUUAUGCAUCAAACAAAUAUGUGAAAGAUU